UCCAACAGCUAUUUCAACCUGAAACUCACAAUGGGCAACCCCACUGAAGCUAACCAGGUGUGACCCUGGCCAGUACCUGGAUGGGAAACCUCCUGGGAAAGCUGAAGUUUCUGCUGGAA
rnacentral:rRNA from 1 species